GGAAGGAUCAUUAACUCGAUUAAAAAAACCAUCUUACCUCGAAUAGAGGUGAAUUGGCAGCUUAAAACCCUGCCACUCACUAAAUCAGGCCCUCGAUUCUUUCGGGAAUUGACCAGGUUAAGUGAGGAUGUCCUAGUGUAGCUUGUCGAGCUGCAGAUUGACGAAAUCUAUACUAGGAUACCUCGCUUCUUGGGCGGGUCUUCAAAAAACCAUUCAGUUAUACACUUUAUUUCAUGCCUAAAAACAUACAACGUUAUAAGGUGGAUGACUCGGCUCACACAUCGAUGAAGGACGCAGCUAACCGCGAAAGCUGGUGUAAGUCGCAUAAGUCCAACAGAUCAUCGAACCCUCCGAAUGCAGACUGCGCCUCAGGGAUUUAUCUCUGAGGCCUAUCUCUUUGAGCGGGGAUAACUGCCUUCAAAAGCAAUUAUCUUUCUUGCGCUACCCCUAAAAACCGGUAACACUGCGGUUUGGGCUUGGGAGCUUGUCUUCACAGGACUCUCCCUAAUUGUAUCAGGCGCCUUUAAUGGGUGACUAGAGCUGAUCACUUUUUAGCCACCAAAAUCCAUUAAAGGAGCAUGCAUUCAACUCCCCAUCAAAUGAGGUAGGACAAUCCCGUGAACUUAAGCAUAUCAUUAGCGGGAAGAAAAGAAAUCAACCGAGAUGCAUUAGUAGCGGCGAGCGAAAGUGGCAAUGCCCAUCCCGAAUCUCUGUAGACUAGUCUCUGCAGCGAAAUGUGGGGUAUCAGUCCAUCUAAAACCAGCGUCUUGGUCGGUGAACUCAGUUGGAAAACUGGACUACAGAAGGUGACAGUCCUGUAACUGGCUUUGACGUUGGGAUCAAUUGGUGGUACUGUGGAGUAGGGCUGUUUGAGAGUACAGUCCGAAGUGGGUGGUAUGUUCCAUCCAAGGCUAAAUAAGGGUGUGAGACCGAUAGCAAACAAGUACCGCGAGGGAAAGUUGAAAAGGACUUUGGAAAGAGAGUCAAAAGAACCUGAAACCUUAUACCGGAAAGGCCUUCUUGUACGACCGAAUGCCUUAAGUGUCAUGACUCGGUGCGACACUGGUGGGCUUGCAUGGUUUUGUUAGGGUAAAUCCAACAUACUAUGCAAGGGUCCUAUCAGCUAGCCGCAUUUAUUUCAUGGUACGGCUGACUGCGGUAGGCUGCACAUAGGCUAUGAGGGCCGGGAGAUCGGUAGCUGUCUUGUGCAGCGAAGCUCCUGGAUUACUGACAGCUUUAUUCUGCGGCUGAGGGUCAACAAAAGAGGAGUGGUUUUCUUGGGCUGCGUAUUGCUUGGGACUGCUAGGCCGUUACCUGCUUGCAGGUGGCGGUUUGGUAAGCUAAUGCAGUGCGUUGUUCCGAAACUCCUCUCGACUCGCGGGAUGUUGGAAAGAAGGCUCCCGUCUUGAAACACGGACCAAGGAGUGCAUUUCUAGUGCAAGGUGAAGGAGAGGUAUCUCCUAGCCGUAGCGAAAGCGAAUUGAUUGAUACUGAGGUCUUUGGAUCGAAGUUGCAAAUCAGCCCUUUGGGCGUUCUUUUAAGAUGCCCAAUGAGGUAGAGUAUUAGAAAUGCGACCCGAAAGAUGGCGAACUAUGCUUGUGUAAGGCGAAGUCAGAAGAAAUUCUGAUGGAGGCUUGAAGCGUUGUUGACGUGCAAAUCACUCGUCGAACAUGAGUAUAGCGGCGAAAGACUAAUCGAGCCGUCUAGUAGCUGGUUUCCUC
rnacentral:misc_RNA from 1 species